rnacentral:rRNA from 1 species
GUUAUCCUACGGGGCGCAGCAGUGAGGAAUAUUGGUCAAUGGUCGGGAGACUGAACCAGCCAAGCCGCGUGAGGGAGGAAGGUACAGAGUAUCGUAAACCUCUUUUGUCAGGGAACAAAGACUGGGACGCGUCCCCGGAUGAGUGUACCUGAAGAAAAAGCAUCGGCUAACUCCGUGCCAGCAGCCGCGGUAAUACGGAGGAUGCGAGCGUUAUCCGGAUUUAUUGGGUUUAAAGGGUGCGCAGGCGGUCUGUUAAGUCAGCGGUCAAAGCCCGGGGCUCAACCCCGGCCCGCCGUUGAAAGUGG